rnacentral:ncRNA from 1 species
CGACCUCAGAUUAGGUGGGAUUCCCCGCUGAAUUUAAGCAUAUUAGUAAGCGGUGGAAAAGAAACCAACAGGGAUUCCCUUAGUAGCUGCGAGUGAACAGGGAUUAGCCCAGCACUGAAUCCCAAAAGCAUUGCUUUUAGGGAAAUGUAGUGUUUGGGAGGGCUCAAUUAACCCCAAGAUAUGUGCAUUUCGCCCAAGUCCAUCUUGAACGAGGCCACGGUCCCGAGAGGGUGCCAGGCCCGUUGUUGGCAAAUGUCUAUUUCGGGUGGGCCUCUCCUUAGAGUCGGGUUGCUUGAGAGUGCAGCCCUAAGUAGGUGGUAAACUCCAUCUAAGGCUAAAUACAACCACGAGACCGAUAGCGAACAAGUACCGUGAGGGAAAGUUGAAAAGAACUUUGAAGAGAGAGUUCAAGAGUACGUGAAACCGCUCAGGGGUAAACGGAAAAGACCUGAAUAUCCGGAAGGGGAGAUUCACGUCUUACCACAGAAGAUUUAUUAGAAGAUGAAAAUGACUCUGAUUCUUCAGUGCUUUCCUCGAAAUCUAGCAGAUCUGUUAAAAGGAAGAAAACUCCCCUAACUUUGGACACUUUUUUAAGGCCAAAAACUCCUCCAAGUUGCGACAAAGCUUGAAAGUUCCUUCUACCCCGAAAGCGGAAGAAGAUAGGGUGUUGAGUGUUUAUUCAAAUGUGGAAUUAAAUUCAUUCAAAAAAGAUGCUGUGUAUAAUGUGGUCAGUGCUAGUGAUAAGUUUUCUAAUAUUAAACUCGCCUUCUGGAAUAGUUCAGGCUAUAAAAAUUUUCUAGAAAAUUGUAGUUUUUUGUUACAGCAUGAUAUCAUCUGUUUAAGCGAAACUUGGCUCACACAUAAUAUUGUAAGUUUGCCUGAUUUUCUAAAAGGUUAUAACGUUUGUCAGUCCAAUGCAAUUAAAGAAAAAAAUAAGGGAAGAGCAAAAGGCGGCUUAUUAAUUCUUGUAAACAAAAAAUUUGGUGCUGUUGAAAUUAUAAAUAAAACGGAUUUUUGGAUUCUUGUAAAUGUUAAAUUCCCAGUCGUAAAUUUUGUUAUUGGCUUGAUAUAUUUCAGUCCCGCUAUAAAUAUUAAUGAAAAAUUAAUCUUAUUUGAUGAGCUCAUACUCAAACUAAACACUUUGGAUUGUCCUAUAAUCUUAGGGGGCGAUUUUAACUGUCGUGUUGGUUGUUAAA